rnacentral:rRNA from 1 species
GACGAACGCUGGCGGCGUGCUUAACACAUGCAAGUCGAACGCUGAAGCUCAGCUUGCUGGGUGGAUGAGUGGCGAACGGGUGAGUAACACGUGAGUAACCUGCCCUCUUCUUUGGGAUAACGCCCGGAAACGGGUGCUAAUACUGGAUAUUCACUGAUUCUCGCAUGGGGGUUGGUGGAAAGGUUUUUUCUGGUGGGGGAUGGGCUCGCGGCCUAUCAGCUUGUUGGUGGGGUGAUGGCCUACCAAGGCUUUGACGGGUAGCCGGCCUGAGAGGGUGACCGGUCACAUUGGGACUGAGAUACGGCCCAGACUCCUACGGGAGGCAGCAUUGGGGAAUAUUGCACAAUGGGCGAAAGCCUGAUGCAGCGACGCCGCGUGAGGGAUGGAGGCCUUCGGGUUGUAAACCUCUUUCGCUCAUGGUCAAGCCGCAGCUUUGGGUUGUGGUGAGGGUAGUGGGUAAAGAAGCGCCGGCUAACUACGUG